AAUCAUCAAACUUUUCAAUUUUAUUAUUGAUAAGUUUGGACUUGGAAGUGUUGUUGGCUCUGGUCAACUCUUCUUAAAUGUAUUAGCCGGAAGCUCUUGUAACCGUCUAUAGGUGUGAUAAUUAUCUAUGCCUUUGACUGCUGCACUUAGUAUGAGCAUUCGCUUCUAACUGUCUACUUGUAGUCAAUUUUUGACC
rnacentral:misc_RNA from 1 species